UACGGAGGAUCCGAGCGUUAUCCGGAUUUAUUGGGUUUAAAGGGUGCGCAGGCGGGGGAUUAAGUCGGCGGUGAAAUUUUGCAGCUCAACUGUAAAAGUGCCUUCGAAACUGGUUUCCUUGAGUGUAGAUGAAGUAGGCGGAAUUUGUGGUGUAGCGGUGAAAUGCAUAGAUAUCACGAGGAACUCCGAUUGCGCAGGCAGCUUACUAAACUACUACUGACGCUCAGGCACGAAGGCGUGGGGAUCAAACAGGAUUAGAUACCCCUGUAGUCCCU
rnacentral:rRNA from 1 species